rnacentral:rRNA from 1 species
UACGUAGGGUGCAAGCGUUAAUCGGAAUUACUGGGCGUAAAGCGUGCGCAGGCGGUUCGUUAUGUCCGAUGUGAAAGCCCCGAGCUCAACUUGGGAAUGGCAUUGGAAACUGGCGGGCUGGAGUGUGGCAGAGGGGGGGUGGAAUUCCACGUGUAGCAGUGAAAUGCGUAGAGAUGUGGAGGAACACCGAUGGACGAAGGCAGCCCCCUGGGCCAACACUG